CCAGACUCCUACGGGAGGCAGCAGUGGGGAAUAUUGCACAAUGGGGGGAACCCUGAUGCAGCGACGCCGCGUGGGUGAAGGAGUAUUUCGGUAUGUAAAGCCCUAUCAGCAGGGAAGAACAAUGACGGUACCUGACUAAGAAGCACCGGCUAAAUACGUGCCAGCAGCCGCGGUAAUACGUAUGGUGCAAGCGUUAUCCGGAUUUACUGGGUGUAAAGGGAGCGUAGACGGCAGCGCAAGUCUGAAGUGAAAUGCCGGGGCUUAACCCCGGAACUGCUUUGGAAACUGUGCAGCUAGAGUGCAGGAGAGGUAAGUGGAAUUCCUAGUGUAGCGGUGAAAUGCGUAGAUAUUAGGAGGAACACCAGUGGCGAAGGCGGCUUACUGGACUGUAACUGACGUUGAGGCUCGAAAGCGUGGGGAGCAAACAGGAUUAGAUACCCCCGUAAA
rnacentral:rRNA from 1 species